rnacentral:rRNA from 1 species
CGUGGAGAACCUGCCGUAUACUGGGGGAUAACACUUAGAAAUAGGUGCUAAUACCGCAUAAGCGCACAGCUUCGCAUGAAGCAGUGUGGAAAACAAAAAGCUAAAGCUUUUGGUGGUAUACGAUGGAUCCGCGUCUGAUUAGCUUGUUGGCGGGGUAAAGGCCCACCAAGGCGGCGAUCAGUAGCCGGCCUGAGAGGGUGAACGGCCACAUUGGGACUGAGACACGGCCCAAACUCCUACGGGAGGCAGCAG